rnacentral:tRNA from 1 species
CAGAAAGUAGUUUAAUUUAAAAUUUAGGUUUUGGAAAUCUAUAAUGUCUUUAAAAGAUCUUUCUGA